AAAUUGAAGAGUUUGAUCAUGGCUCAGAUUGAACGCUGGCGGCAGGCCUAACACAUGCAAGUCGAACGGUAGCACAGAGAGCUUGCUCUCGGGUGACGAGUGGCGGACGGGUGAGUAAUGUCUGGGAAACUGCCUGAUGGAGGGGGAUAACUACUGGAAACGGUAGCUAAUACCGCAUAACGUCGCAAGACCAAAGAGGGGGACCUUCGGGCCUCUUGCCAUCAGAUGUGCCCAGAUGGGAUUAGCUAGUAGGUGGGGUAACGGCUCACCUAGGCGACGAUCCCUAGCUGGUCUGAGAGGAUGACCAGCCACACUGGAACUGAGACACGGUCCAGACUCCUACGGGAGGCAGCAGUGGGGAAUAUUGCACAAUGGGCGCAAGCCUGAUGCAGCCAUGCCGCGUGUAUGAAGAAGGCCUUCGGGUUGUAAAGUACUUUCAGCGGGGAGGAAGGUGUUGUGGUUAAUAACCGCAGCAAUUGACGUUACCCGCAGAAGAAGCACCGGCUAACUCCGUGCCAGCAGCCGCGGUAAUACGGAGGGUGCAAGCGUUAAUCGGAAUUACUGGGCGUAAAGCGCACGCAGGCGGUCUGUCAAGUCGGAUGUGAAAUCCCCGGGCUCAACCUGGGAACUGCAUUCGAAACUGGCAGGCUAGAGUCUUGUAGAGGGGGGUAGAAUUCCAGGUGUAGCGGUGAAAUGCGUAGAGAUCUGGAGGAAUACCGGUGGCGAAGGCGGCCCCCUGGACAAAGACUGACGCUCAGGUGCGAAAGCGUGGGGAGCAAACAGGAUUAGAUACCCUGGUAGUCCACGCCGUAAACGAUGUCGACUUGGAGGUUGUGCCCUUGAGGCGUGGCUUCCGGAGCUAACGCGUUAAGUCGACCGCCUGGGGAGUACGGCCGCAAGGUUAAAACUCAAAUGAAUUGACGGGGGCCCGCACAAGCGGUGGAGCAUGUGGUUUAAUUCGAUGCAACGCGAAGAACCUUACCUACUCUUGACAUCCAGAGAACUUUCCAGAGAUGGAUUGGUGCCUUCGGGAACUCUGAGACAGGUGCUGCAUGGCUGUCGUCAGCUCGUGUUGUGAAAUGUUGGGUUAAGUCCCGCAACGAGCGCAACCCUUAUCCUUUGUUGCCAGCGGUUAGGCCGGGAACUCAAAGGAGACUGCCAGUGAUAAACUGGAGGAAGGUGGGGAUGACGUCAAGUCAUCAUGGCCCUUACGAGUAGGGCUACACACGUGCUACAAUGGCGCAUACAAAGAGAAGCGACCUCGCGAGAGCAAGCGGACCUCAUAAAGUGCGUCGUAGUCCGGAUUGGAGUCUGCAACUCGACUCCAUGAAGUCGGAAUCGCUAGUAAUCGUAGAUCAGAAUGCUACGGUGAAUACGUUCCCGGGCCUUGUACACACCGCCCGUCACACCAUGGGAGUGGGUUGCAAAAGAAGUAGGUAGCUUAACCUUCGGGAGGGCGCUUACCACUUUGUGAUUCAUGACUGGGGUGAAGUCGUAACAAGGUAACCGUAGGGGAACCUGCGGUUGGAUCACCUCCUUACCUUAAAGAA
rnacentral:rRNA from 2 species